rnacentral:lncRNA from 1 species
GUGAUUUCAGCAGGGAGGAAUGGGCGAAGGGUACAAAGCCAACAGAAGGGGGGAAAUGGAGCAAGCGUUGGACAAUUGCUGCUAGGACAUAAGCCAGACUGUGGUGAGGUUUAUUUGCAAGAUGGGUUUGAGGGAAUUAAGGAUAAAGUCUGCUGAAAGUAGCACCAGCCUCUGGAUUAAAAGGGAUGUUUGGAUGAAGCUUCAAUCUCAAGAAGAGGCAAGAGAAAACUAAAGAAAAAGAUGAGAGCUGGAAUGAAGUACCAGGGCAAGGGAGCUGCCUGGAUGAGGAAACCAAGGCUAUCUCAGUACUGCCAAGGUGUUUUCAUCAUUCAUCAAAAUGCAAAAGUAAACACUGAUUAUUCUACAGAAACAACACAUCACUGGAUGCCUCUCACCAUGCAAUCCUCUGUGCACUUGAGAAGAAGACAAGACUCUCCUAUUUUUAGAUGGGAAAGCUGAGGCAAAACGGAUGCACUUGGGCAAAAUCAUUUGAUAAAAAUGGAAGCUGAACCUCCAAGUCCUGGCAUCGGUAGCUGCCUCAUGUUCCUCCCGCCUCACUCCACCUCAGUGUACCCGCGACUGGAGGGUGCCACAGGCUGGAGCACACAAAACACUGUGUGCUUCGUGAUUCUGAUGUGGGGCGCCAGAUCCGGUGGAAGGAGGGUGGCUGCGUGGGAACAGAUGCUCGUGUCACAAGGAGUUGUCUCUUGUGGGCAAAGCAAGCUGGAAAGUGUUUCGAUUUCUUUAUUUUCAUGCUCUACUCUUGGUGCUUCCUUCUCCUUUGCCCACCAAUCCCCCCAAUGCCAGGCUUCUCCUUACCUGGGUGCAGAGAGAGGAACAACUUGGAGGUGGGCAGAGAGGGACUCAGUUCAUGGUGCUUGGAGGUGGGAGAGCUCCCAGGCAAAAUAGAGAGGAGACUGUGGAGAUGCCGUGGGCAGGUGUGGAGGAGAGGGAGAGCUUGAACGGUGAAAAACAAGAGAUGGAGAGUCUGGGAGAAGGGUGAGCAGCCAGAAUGGGGAUUUCCACAGUAGCUUCUGAUGAGCUAUGUCUGGUCAGAACUAUAACCUUAGCUUCCUUUAUUUCCCUGGAGGGGUGGGGAGAUAGGAAGGAGAGGAGUAUACUAGUCUCUUCCAAAGGGAGGGCCAGAGCAAAAGCGUCCUGUGAUUAAUUACUCACCACAAAAACCCUCUUCAAGGCUGGAGACCUAGGAGGGGCUUGGCACACAGACAACUCCUCUGCAGCUGUUCAGAGAAAAACAGCUCUUCCCAUCUCAAGCCGCCCACCUGCCCAGUGUGCUGUCUGUCCCACUGGUCACACACUUUCCCUAGAGUGCUUCUUGCUUCUCUCACAGCAAUUCCCACCUCCGCAUGCUGGACCAGGCGGCCCCCUCUAGAUCCCAUGGUGAAGCAUCAGGUGCCCACAGGUCUAAGAUGUCUUCAUUUGUUCAAUGGCUAGAGCAGGCAGCUGGCUGUCCAGAUGCAUGAAUGAAUUCCCUAACUCUCACAUGUCUGCAGGAAACUGCUGUAGGAAGCCUGCACCAGUGGAUUGCCAUUCGGGCAGAUCCUCUCAACUUUGAGAGCUUAAGGCUUGCUUUUGAGUAUGUGAUUAUGAUCCUGCCUGUGUGUAUGUAUGUCAGAAUCAUAGAACUCUAGAGGUCAUGUUUUAAUUAAUUUAUUCAUUCAUUGAUUCAUUAACAAAUGCUUAUUGAGUACCUACUAUGUGUCAGGCUGUGAUCUGGAUACUGAGGCACAGAUCAGUGAGCAAAACAGACCAAAAGCUCUGUCAUCAUGAAGCUUAUAUUCUAGAGAGAAGAGAUAUACUAUCAUCAAAUUAAGUCAGUUAUGUAGCAUAUUAGAAAGUGAUAAGUCCAGUGGGGUAAAAUAAAGGAGGAUGAUGGGGAAUGUGAGGGGCGGCAUGCAAUUUUAAAUAGAAUGUUUGAGGAAGGCUUUCAUGGGAAAGUGAUAUUUGGUGCAAAACGUGAAGGCGGUAAAGAGGUGAAUUAUGUGGCUAUGUCGGGGAUGGACAUUACAGGCAGAAGAAUUAGUUAGUCGGGGCUCUGAGCAGGGAGCAGGUCUGGCAUGUUCCCAUCCCAGCAAGUAGGCCAGUGUGGCUCUGGUGGAGUAAGCAAGGAUGGAAUUGCAGCAGGUGAGUCCAGAAGAGUGAUAAUGGACAGCCAGUUGGGGGUGCCUUCCAGGUGAUUGUGGGAACUAGGCUUUAUUCUGAGUGUGAUGGGUAGCCACUUGGGGCUUUCAGGACAGGAUGGUAAAAAAAGGAUCAUGCUGCCUGCUGUGUUGGGAACAGACUGUAUGGGACCAGGUGAAAGCAAAGCAGUCAGCCUCAAAUAAUUCAGGUGAGGGAAAACGUGACUUGAAUAAGAUUCACUGUAGAAGUGGUGAGAUAUAAGUGGAUUCUGGAUAUAAUAAAAAUAUAGAGCCAGCAGGAUUUUCUGAUGGAUUAGCUAAGGAGUGUAAAGAAAUAGAGGAGUCAGAGUGACUUUUUUUUUCCUUGAGCAACAGGAAGUGGAGAGGUAUCAUUACCUGAAAGGAGGAAAGCCUCAGGUAGAGAAAGUUUUAGAGGAGGUAAGAUCAGAGGUUUAGUGCAAGACAUGCUAAGUUUGAGAUGUCUAUUAGAUACCCAAGUGGAUCUGUCUAAUGGGUAUUUAGACAGAUCCACUUGGAUAUCUGUCUCAAUGGACAUGUGAUCUACAUGUAGUUCACAGGAUAAGUCCAGUUUAGAGUACCAAUUUGAAGUCAUCAAAUGUAGGUGGCAUUUAAAGUGGUAAAACUGGACUGAGCACAGUGGCUUAUGCCUGUAACCCCUGCAUUUUGGGAGGCUGAGGUGGGUGGAUAACUUGAGGUCAGGAGUUCGAGACCAGCUUGGCCAACAUGGUGAAACCCUAUCUCUACUAAAAAUACAAAAAAUUAGCCAGGCAUGGUGGCACAUGCCUAUAAUCUGAGCCUCUCGGGAGGCUGAGGCAGGAGAAUUGCUUGAAUCCAGGAGGCAGAGGUUGCAGUGAGCCAAGAUCGUGCGACUGCACUCCAGCCUGGGUGACAGAGUGAGACUCCAUCUCAAAAAAAUAAAUAAAUAAAUAAAUAAAUAAAACAAAAAUAAAAAAUAAAGUGAUAAAACUGGAGAUCACUAUGAGAAUGAGGAUAGCUAGAGAAAAGAAGGGGUCCAGAAGGUUAUCCUUGCUGUGCUCCAAGGUGCUUGAGUUUGGAAACAUGAGACAAAACCAGAAACAGAGACCCUGGGAGAGUCUGUGGUCUCCAUUUUUCCGCUGAGCAAACCACAGGCUUGUGUUCUGCCUAUCUCCCACUUCGCACAUGUACAGCAUUGUAGAAUAUUUACAUGGAAAAGGAUUCUAUGAUAUAGUAGAGUGACUUCCCCUAUUGAUAACAAACAAUUAUGUCAGUCC